rnacentral:rRNA from 1 species
AAGCGGAGGAAAAGAAACUAACAAGGAUUCCCCUAGUAACUGCGAGUGAAGCGGGAAAAGCUCAAAUUUAAAAUCUGGCAGUUUCACUGUCCGAGUUGUAAUCUGGAGAAGCAUUUUCUGUGUUGGACCGUGUACAAGUCUCUUGGAAUAGAGCGUCAUAGAGGGUGAGAAUCCCGUCCAUGACACGGACUACCAAUGCUCUGUGAUAUGCUCUCGAAGAGUCGAGUUGUUUGGGAAUGCAGCUCAAAUUGGGUGGUAAAUUCCAUCUAAAGCUAAAUAUUGGCGAGAGACCGAUAGCGAACAAGUACCGUGAGGGAAAGAUGAAAAGCACUUUGGAAAGAGAGUUAAACAGUACGUGAAAUUGUUGAAAGGGAAACGCUUGAAGUCAGUCGCGUUGUCUGAGACUCAGCCUUGCUCUGCUUGGUGUAUUUCUCAGUUAACGGGUCAACAUCAAUUUUGGUUGGUGGAUAAAGGUAGAGGAAAUGUGGCAUCCUCCGGGGUGUGUUAUAGUCCUCUAUUGUAUACACUGACUGGGAUUGAGGAACGCAGCACGCCUUUUAGGCCGGGGGUUCGCCUCACGUAACGUGCUUAGGAUGUUGGCAUAAUGGCUUUAAGCGACCCGUCUUGAAACACGGACCAAGGAGUCUAACAUGCUUGCAAGUGUUCGGGUGGAAAACCCUUGCGCGUAAUGAAAGUGAAAGUUGGGACCCUUCGCGGGGGCACCGACGCCCGGCCCUGAAGUUUACUGACGGUGCUGCGGUAGAGCACGUAUGUUGGGACCCGAAAGAUGGUGAACUAUGCCUGAAUAGGGUGAAGCCAGGGGAAACUCUGGUGGAGGCUCGUAGCGAUUCUGACGUGCAAAUCGAUCGUCAAAUUUGGGUAUAGGGGCGAAAGACUAAUCGAACCAUCUAGUAGC